AUCAUGCGGCGAAUCAAUAAAGGAUGACGCUCCGAGCCGAUCGCUUUGUUGCAAAGCGAUCGUCCAAAAUGCCGGCCCAUACGUACGGCGGGAUGCUCUCGGCCGCUCGCCAGCUGAUCGUCUGCCGACCAGGAUUUGAAUAAAUGGGAUCCAGAAUCGUCAGAUGAGUGAAGUCCCCUGGAUAGCCUCGAAGCAGCCAAGCUUCAUCCCGAGCUUCCUCCGACGAAGAUGAAGACUAAGCUCGUCCAUCUUGCAGGAAUUCAAGACCCGCGAGUCGAACUUCUUUUCGGACUGCGAGGAAGAAAAGUUAUGCAUCCAGCAGACGUUCGACUCCCAUUCCAAUACGCAGGUUCUGCUUCAAGCAGAAGUAGCGACUGGUUUCAAGGAGACCACCACACAAGGAGACAACCACACAAGAUCCCAUUCACUGCCACCAAAGAAUAAAAUCGAGAUGUAUAUAAAACCUUGCAAGAUUUUAUGCACAAGGUAAUAAAAACCUGGACCAUUGAGCAAACUGUAGAGGAGGAGAGUUUGGAGGAAAAAAGUGCAAUGUGGGAGCCCCAUUUGUUCAUGCAUUUUUGUCGAAUGUAAAUUCUGUUCAUAGUUAUACUUUUUUCUGUCAAAAGUACUUUCUCGGUGUUGGUUUAUGUUCAGAUGUUUGAGAUUUUCACUAAAGGAAAAAAAAAAUACUGGUGUCUAAGUCAUUGUUC